UACGAAGGGGGCUAGCGUUGCUCGGAAUCACUGGGCGUAAAGGGUGCGUAGGCGGGUUUCUAAGUCAGAGGUGAAAUCCUGGAGCUCAACUCCAGAACUGCCUUUGAUACUGGAAGUCUUGAGUAUGGGAGAGGUGAGUGGAACUGCGAGUGUAGAGGUGAAAUUCGUAGAUAUUCGCAAGAACACCAGUGGCGAAGGCGGCUUACUGGUCCGGUUCUGACGCUGAGGCACGAAAGCGUGGGGAGCAAACAGG
rnacentral:rRNA from 1 species